UCGAAUAUUUUUCAUGCAUCAAA
rnacentral:snRNA from 1 species